GAUGAACGCUGGCGGCGUGCCUAAUACAUGCAAGUCGAGCGAACAGAUGAGGAGCUUGCUCCUCUGACGUUAGCGGCGGACGGGUGAGUAACACGUGGAUAACCUACCUAUAAGACUGGGAUAACUUCGGGAAACCGGAGCUAAUACCGGAUAAUAUAUUGAACCGCAUGGUUCAAUAGUGAAAGACGGUUUUGCUGUCACUUAUAGAUGGAUCCGCGCCGCAUUAGCUAGUUGGUAAGGUAACGGCUUACCAAGGCAACGUUGAGUAGCCGACCUGAGAGGGGGAUCGGCCACACGGGAACUGAGGCACGGUCCAGACCCCUACGGGGGGCAGCAGUAGGGAAUCUGCCGCAAUGGGCGAAAGCCUGACGGAGCAACGCCGCGUGAGUGAUGAAGGUCGUCGGAUCGUAAAACUCUGUUAUUAGGGAAGAACAAAUGUGUAAGUAACUAUGCACGUCUGGACGGUACCUAAUCAGAAAGCCACGGCUAACUACGU
rnacentral:rRNA from 1 species